rnacentral:rRNA from 1 species
CCUACGGGAGGCAGCAGUGGGGAAUAUUGCACAAUGGGGGAAACCCUGAUGCAGCGACGCCGCGUGAGUGAAGAAGUAUUUCGGUAUGUAAAGCUCUAUUAGCAGGGAAGAAAAUGACGGUACUUGAUUAAGAAGCCCCGGCUAAAUACGUGCCAGCAGCCGCGGUAAUAAGUAGGGGGCAAGCGUUAUCCGGAUUUACUGGGUGUAAAGGGAGCGUAGACGGUGAUGCAAGUCAGAAGUGAAAGGCCAGGGCUCAACUCCGGGACUGCGUUUGAAACUGUGUGUCUGGAGUGAAGGAGAGGUAAGCGGAAUUCCUGGUGUAGCGGUGAAAUGCGUAGAUAUCAGGAGGAACACCAGUGGCGAAGGCGGCUUACUGGACUGUAACUGACGUUGAGGCUCGAAAGCGUGGGUAGCGAACAGGAUUAGAUACCCCAGUAGUC